ACUAAUUUUUGUUCAUUGUUUUUUCUAUUUUACUAACAAAGGAAAUACAUUUUUAUGUCGAUUAUUUGUCAUCAUCUGAUGGCAUAUAUAUCUUUACUUGGUCAAAACUUUUGAUUUAGCAAGUGAUGGUGGUAACGAGUAAAAGAGAAUCUUUUGAACCAUUUAAAGGUGCCAUUUGGUGCAUUUUCAUUUUGAUUUGAAUGAGAUAGAAAAUUAUCUCACUUGCUGAUUUAGAAGGUUGUUGGGCAAUGAAUCUGUUGUCUAGGAUGUGUUAAUUUUUAGCCAGAAGAUUUGUUGAGGAUGCGGUAUUUGACCCUUGUCUAGCUGGUUUUUGGAUACUAACGGAGAUUGAAGUCGCAUAGAAGUUUAAUUUCAACACAAAAGCCUGAAGUCAAAAGAAUCUGCUGUUGCCAAUUACUGUUUCCCCUUCAUAGGAUGAUGUAAAUAUCCAAAAAUCAUUCAGAUGAAGGCUAACAUAUUUUCCUGCUGAAGGGCAGUCUGAGGUUUGUUUAAUACUAAUACUAAUGAGCAAACUCUGUGUUCUGAAGGAUCUCAAGUGUCAACAUAGUGGAGAUACAGCCACAGUGCUUUUUCACUUAUUUUUCCAAACUACGUUUUCCCUGGAAGAGCUUGUAGCCUUGUACAAUUUUUAACGGUUGAAAUUAUAGGUUGCUAUGAUGAAGAUGCAACGCAAGGAAAAACUUUGAGCCAGUGUUUCGUGCUUAAACUAUGAAGUUCUCUUAACUCUAGAUCAAACCGGGAAGUAAGCUAUUCGGCCAUUGCCAGUGCAGAUAUUAAUGCUUUUGGUUGAUGACUUUUAGGAAAUGACAUUUGGUACGAACGGAGCUGAAUGGAUCAAUCCCUGUAUGUUCAACUAUUGUUUUUCCUCGACUCAUUGAAGGCUAUAAACUGAGUAAACUCCUUUAUCAUCUGAAGAGGCAUAAGAUACCUUAGCUAGGAGGUCAGUCGACCUUAGUGCAAUUUCAACCCAGAUUGAGAUGGAACGAGUUUAGCUCGUAGUUCGAGGGAUUGACUAUGUAUCCUAAUAAAUCCGCCAUUAAUGUCAACAAUUGACGAAAUGGCUAGCGCUCAUGUUGGGGAUGAUCACAAAUCACAAGAAGGUCAAGCUCUGUAGGACAAAGCUCGUGAUAGGGUUCAACUAUCAAAGAAUUGCUGAGCUCAAAUCAUAUGAAGUUCACAAUAUAGUGAUGCUCAACAAAAGAGCUCAAACGGAGGCAUGCUUCAUUAGAAAAUCUUGUUAUUUGUUUGAAACGAGUUAGACACCGAAGACAAUGUUGCACCUAUCAAAAUGUUGAGAAUAUCAAUGAGAAAUAUAUAGCUAGCGUUGCAUUUACCGAUCUUUAUUUUCAUAUUUUUGGCCGAUAUCAAUGAGAAAUAUAUAGCUAGUGUUGCAUUUA